CAGUCGCCGCGGUAAUACGAAGGGGGCUAGCGUUGUUCGGAUUUACUGGGCGUAAAGCGCACGUAGGCGGAUUCUUAAGUCAGAGGUGAAAUCCCAAGGCUCAACCUUGGAACUGCCUUUGAUACUGGGGAUCUCGAGUCCGGGAGAGGUGAGUGGAACUGCGAGUGUAGAGGUGAAAUUCGUAGAUAUUCGCAAGAACACCAGUGGCGAAGGCGGCUCACUGGCCCGGUACUGACGCUGAGGUGCGAAAGCGUGGGGAGCAAACAGGAUUAGAUACCCGUGUAGUCCCUGUCUCUUAUAA
rnacentral:rRNA from 1 species